rnacentral:rRNA from 1 species
UACGGAGGAUCCGAGCGUUAUCCGGAUUUAUUGGGUUUAAAGGGUGCGCAGGCGGAAGAUUAAGUCGGUGGUGAAAUUUUGCAGCUCAACUGUAAGAGUGCCAUUGAUACUGGUUUUCUUGAGUGUGGAUGAGGUAGGCGGAAUGUGCAGUGUAGCGGUGAAAUGCAUAGAUAUUGCACGGAACACCAAUUGCGAAGGCAGCUUACUGGACCAUUACUGACGCUCAGGCACGAAAGCGUGGGGAUCAAACAGGA